rnacentral:lncRNA from 1 species
ACUGCGCGCGCCCUCAAACGCAGCCAGGCCGCCUAGCAACCCGGUUUCCAGCCAGUGUCUCGCCGGAACAAGUGGCCUUCCCUGGAGUUCUGUUCCCACCAGCUGGUCUCGGCUCUUCCCUAUCAUUUCCCCUUCUCCCCUCCACUGGUUCCAAUUUCGCCCACGGUGUGCGUCCCAAAACGCUGAACCGGCUCCUAAAAUGAGUACUCGUGGUUUCCGCGUGGGAACCCACCUCUGGGGCCUCUGGCCCGCCCUCCGCUGGCUUAGGUGGCUGCUGGGGCUGGGGCUGCUCCUGGGGCUUCAGGCCGCCCUCUGCGUGGCUUUCUAUCUCCCGGGGUUGGCUCCCGUCAACUUCUGCGAGGCGGACCAAGAGACUGCCACCUGCAAGUCUCUGCAAACAGCAAGUUAAUUUGUACCUCUCAGACUUGCGAGAAUAAAAUGAGACAACGUAUGACAAGCACUGACAAAAACACUUGGCACAUGUCAUCUGUAGCACUAUUUGUAAAUAGUCUGGACUCAGUGGAACCUGCUGUCUUAUGAAUAUAAUAUUUUUAACAAGACAGAAACAUGUUCAAAAGUUUGUGUAAAAUUUUAUGAUAUAGCAAGUGAAGAUCGAAAGAAAAGGCUGGAUUUUUUGAAGAAAGGAACACAGCUGAAUUAUCAACGUCACUGUUUGAAUUCAACAGAAGUAAUACUUUCUACCUCUUCGACCACACUGAUAUUACCGUUACAUAUCCUGGGGAAAGUGAAACAAAUUGGGCUAUUGCAAGUUUGGUUACUGCUUGACUUGAUCUCAAAAGCUGACAUAUGCAUGCAAGAAAACGUUCAUCUGAUCGCAGUAAAACUCGUUUAUUGGGGCCUCCUGAGAACAAGGUCCGUAUUAUAA